rnacentral:rRNA from 1 species
GAUGAACGCUGGCGGCGUGCCUAAUACAUGCAAGUCGAGCGAACAGAUAAGGAGCUUGCUCCUUUGACGUUAGCGGCGGACGGGUGAGUAACACGUGGGUAACCUACCUAUAAGACUGGGAUAACUUCGGGAAACCGGAGCUAAUACCGGAUAACAUUUGGAACCGCAUGGUUCUAAAGUGAAAGAUGGUUUUGCUAUCACUUAUAGAUGGACCCGCGCCGUAUUAGCUAGUUGGUAAGGUAACGGCUUACCAAGGCAACGAUACGUAGCCGACCUGAGAGGGUGAUCGGCCACACUGGAACUGAGACACGGUCCAGACUCCUACGGGAGGCAGCAGUAGGGAAUCUUCCGCAGUGGGCGAAAGCCUGACGGAGCAACGCCGCGUGAGUGAUGAAGGGUUUCGGCUCGUAAAACUCUGUUAUUAGGGAAGAACAAACGUGUAAGUAACUGUGCACGUCUUGACGGUACCUAAUCAGAAAGCCACGGCUAACUACGU